rnacentral:rRNA from 1 species
UGCCCCUUAUGAUUUGGGCUACACACGUGCUACAAUGGACAAUACAAAGGGCAGCGAAACCGCGAGGUCAAGCAAAUCCCAUAAAGUUGUUCUCAGUUCGGAUUGUAGUCUGCAACUCGACUACAUGAAGCUGGAAUCGCUAGUAAUCGUAGAUCAGCAUGCUACGGUGAAUACGUUCCCGGGUCUUGUACACACCGCCCGUCACACCACGAGAGUUUGUAACACCCGAAGCCGGUGGAGUAACCUUUUAGGAGCUAGCCGUCGAAGGUGGGACAAAUGAUUGGGGUGAAGUCGUAACAAGGUAGCCGUAUCGGAAGGUGCGGCUGGAUCACCUCCUUU